GACGAACGCUGGCGGCGUGCUUAACACACGCAAGUCGAGCGAUAAGGCCCUUUCGGGGGUACGACGAGCGGCGAACGGGUGAGUAACACGUGGGUGACCUGCCCUUAGCUCUGGGAUAAGCCUGGGAAACUGGGUCUAAUACCGGAUAUGACUCCAUGACGCAUGUUGUGGGGUGGAAAGCCUUGUGCGGCUAGGGAUGGGCCCGCGGCCUAUCAGCUUGUUGGUGGGGUGAUGGCCACCAAGGCGACGACGGGUAGCCGGCCUGAGAGGGCGACCGGCCACACUGGGACUGAGACACGGCCCAGACUCCUACGGGAGGCAGCAGUGGGGAAUCUUGCGCAAUGGGCGAAAGCCUGACGCAGCGACGCCGCGUGGGGAUGACGGCC
rnacentral:rRNA from 1 species